rnacentral:rRNA from 1 species
CGUGUAGGUGGUUUAACAUGUCAGAUGUGAAAGCCCUGGGCUCAACUCAGGAAGUGCAUUUGAAACUGUUUUUCUAGAGUAUGGGAGAGGAGAGUGGAAUUCCCAGUGUAGAGGUGAAAUUCGUAGAUAUUGGGAGGAACACCGGUGGCGAAGGCGACUCUCUGGACCAAUACUGACACUGAGACGCGAAAGCGUGGGGAGCAAACAGGAUUAGAUACCCUGGUAGUCC